rnacentral:lncRNA from 1 species
GUUUUGAUGAUGUCUUCAUAUAUAGCUAAUAAAAAAAAAUUAUUUUACUCAGUUAUUUAAUUUUAAUGUAUUUAAUAAUUGUUAUUUUCAAUUGGCUUUCCAAAAUAUUCUUUCUUACUUUACCCAUACAGAUUUUAUUUUGGUAUGGCUGUUCGUCUAAUACUUCUAGAAUUUCCUUUUUAAUGAGAGAAUAAACAUUUUAAUCAAUAUGUCCAAAUGUUUCGUGAAAACAUAAGGACUGCCUUAACAAAAGUAGUUUUGGCAAUUAUCCCAAUCUUUUCUACCUUUAUAAUCAAUCAUCUCCGUUUGUCAUGGCUGGACCUUCUGCUGGCCCUGCUCUGUCUCAUCCAGCAGUUACAAGGAAACGAGGAUUAGGACGAUUUUCACUCCGAAGAAUUUUUGGAAGUACAGCAUUUGGUAGAAGAAGCAUGGGAAGACAUUGCACUGUUCCUUUAGAUGUUGAUUCCUGCUCUCACAAUAAUUCUAUCAAUCUUGCUUCAGGACCAGAACAUAAGGUAGGUCUAAAGUUUAUUUUUUCUUUAAUAAAAUGUAAUCUAAUGCAAACGUGAC